rnacentral:rRNA from 1 species
GAUGAACGCUGGCGGCGUGCUUAACACAUGCAAGUCGAACGAAGCACUUUAUUUGAUUUCCUUCGGGACUGAUUAUUUUGUGACUGAGUGGCGGACGGGUGAGUAACGCGUGGGUAACCUGCCUUGUACAGGGGGAUAACAGUUGGAAACGGCUGCUAAUACCGCAUAAGCGCACGGCAUCGCAUGAUGCAGUGUGAAAAACUCCGGUGGUAUAAGAUGGACCCGCGUUGGAUUAGCUAGUUGGUGAGGUAACGGCCCACCAAGGCGACGAUCCAUAGCCGACCUGAGAGGGUGACCGGCCACAUUGGGACUGAGACACGGCCCAAACUCCUACGGGAGGCAGCAGUGGGGAAUAUUGCACAAUGGGCGAAAGCCUGAUGCGGCGACGCCGCGUGAGCGAAGAAGUAUUUCGGUAUGUAAAGCUCUAUCAGCAGGGAAGAUAAUGACGGUACCUGACUAAGAAGCACCGGCUAAAUACGUG